UUACCUACGGGAGGCAGCAGUGAGGAAUAUUGGUCAAUGGGCGGAAGCCUGAACCAGCCAAGUCGCGUGAGGGAAUAAGGCCCUACGGGUCGUAAACCUCUUUUGCCGGGGAGCAAGGGCGGGGACGUGUCCCGGCCCGGAGAGUACCCGGAGAAAAAGCAUCGGCUAACUCCGUGCCAGCAGCCGCGGUAAUACGUAGGUGGCAAGCGUUAUCCGGAAUUAUUGGGCGUAAAGAGCGCGCAGGUGGUUAAUUAAGUCUGAUGUGAAAGCCCACGGCUUAACCGUGGAGGGUCAUUGGAAACUGG
rnacentral:rRNA from 1 species